rfam:Oryza brachyantha chromosome 1, whole genome shotgun sequence.
AAUAAGAUCAUUUUUCAGUUUUUUGAUACAAUGUUUUGACUCUACGUCUUAUUUGAAAUUUUUUUGUGAUUAAUAUUUUUAUUUUUACUAAAUGAUAAAACAUGAAUAGUACUUUAUAGACUAAUUUUUUAAGUUUUUAUAUAAAUUUUUCAAAUAAGACGAAUGGUCAAACAUUGGACAUGAAAAACGAAAAAUUAGGUUAUU